GCAAAAUAAUAAUUCUUCCAUGGUAUCCUCACUUUCUAAAAAUCAUAUACCUGGUUUGGACCUAAUUACUAAUACUGAAUGCAAUACCAAAGGAUUUCUGAAUGUCUCAAAGAUUAUACCACAAAAUCAAACCGAACCGAUUCAAACACCUGACGACAAGCCAUUUAAUUUUCCCAAAAGCAAUACAACCUCUGCAAUUAUAAACCAACAACCAGUUAGUAUGCCUCUUAACAAUAUCCACCAAUCAACUACAUCCAUGUUUCAGAAUUCUUAUAGUUGGUCAAAGUUUAACAAUCCUGUAUCCUAUUAUGAUAAAAAUCCAGUGGAUGUGAAUGAUGCACCAUCAUCUAGAUUUGGUCAACAAAAUGAUAUUAAUGCUCGACCACCAUAUGAUGAAGAAAUAUCUAAUACUUCUUACAAUAGUUCUCAAAAUGCUACUAAUAAUAUGAACUAUAGAAGACCACUAGAAGGAUCAUAUAUUAAUAAACUGAUAAACGAAAGUAGUAGUACAAUGUACAAUAAGGGUCCAGAUGACCAACUUUAUAAUAGAAAUUUUAAUACACAAACUAGUAAUUUUCGAGGUUAUCAACCAAAUAUUUCCAAUAAUAAUAAUUUCAACAGAUCACCGGAAAACAUUCCAUAUCAACAUCAAAAACCAUUGAAUCUAACACAUUCGAAACCGCCUUCUUUGUUGAGUUUAAAUGUGGUUAAACCAAUUACACUAGGUAAGAAUUUAAAAUUACACUGUUUACAAAAUAUUUAUUUUUUAUAUUUCUGAACAUCAGAAUUUAUAAUAAAUUAUUAUUUAUUCUCAUAUAUUUUACCGACUGGUAUUAUUUUUGGUAUAUUAUUAUGAUUUUAUUUACCUGUUAGCAGAAAUUUUGACAAUUUAGAAAAUAAUAUCACUUUUGUAGUUUCUUGGGCAAUUACCCAAUAUAAUACUAAAGAACAUGGAGUUUACUUUGUGCAAAUAAUAUAGUAUUAUACUAAUUUACUAUUCUGUAUUAAUACAAAUACACGCCUUGUCCUAAUAUUAUCAAUCAUUAUUUUGUUACCGUAUUAUGUAUUGUCAAUUUUGCCAGUAACAUACCUACAACAUGACAUUUUAAAUUCCAUUAAUUUCAUAUUUUAGGUUCUGAUGGGAGCGAGGAAUAUAUAGGUUUUAUAGUGAUGUUUAUUUUAUUUUUGUAUUUUUUUCUGUGAAUAACUUAUCUACCAACAAUUUUAAGGGAGAUCAUUUUUUGAUUUUCCUAGGAGUUUUCAUAAUAAAUAGGAAAUACGGGAAAAUAUACAAAAUGUAUUAUUUUUAAAUUGUAAACUUUACAGCCUUUUAAAACAUCUAUAACCAAACUUCGCUCAGAAUUGUUUUUCGUAAACAAAUAUUAAUUAUUGCGUACAGAUAUAAAUUAAAUUCCCCUCAAUAUCCUACCUUCCCAACUUCUCACCUACAACAGUGACCCUCUCAUUGUAUGAAGAAUAUCCGUCAUUUUAAAUAUAAUUAUAUACAUUUACUUUUUAUUGUUUUAGAUAAACCUGGAAAUUACUUGGAAAAUAAGAACGAUUUACCAAAUAGGUAAUAAUUUUUAAUAGAUGUUUAAUAUGAGUUGGCGAUUAUUUGUAUUUUUCUAAAUUAUUAGGUAUGAAAGAAAUUGGAAUAUUGCUGAUGAUGAAGAAGAUCCGGAAAAUGAAUACAUGGAAGCACAUAAAAAAUUUAGUUCUGAACCAUUUGAUGAUCAAUAUGAUGAUCAAUUUUCAAACCAACAGCAUAGAAAUUCAUAUUAUGAUAAUGAUAAUUAUUCUAGAGGACAUCAGGGGCCUAGAGACUACAAUGAUGACUAUCCUAGAUCUUUGAAUCAAUCAAGUGGACCUCAAAUACCGAAGAAUAUGGACAUUGAAUACCCUAGACCGAAUUCUCAAUUCUCUAGAAAUGUUAACCAAAGUUACCCUCACGAUUUGCAAACACCAAAAAAGAAAGACAGUGAUUAUUAUAAAUCUACAAAUAAUAUUAAAAGUAUAGAUCAAGGAUUUUCCAGGGAAGUGCCUAAUUUAAGAGAUGUCAAUGGUGAGUAUUCUAAUGAAUCCACUGUUGAUAAAAACAAAUUUAUUUCACCAAAAGGGAACUAUGGACUUCCUCCAAGAAGAAAUUAUGAACCGUCUAGAAGUAAUUUUGGUAAUAAUUUAAAUAAGACAAAUAUAGAAUGGGAUAAUAAAGACUAUACACAAAAUGAGGCACCUCAACAGUCUGUAAAAGAUAUCAUAAUUCCACCUCUUGUUCAACAGCCAGCAAUUGAUUGCACACCAAUUGAUCCAGUAAAAAUAUUUGAUUAUCGUCAUUUACCCACAUUAAAAGUAAUUCCAGGUAAUAUUACAUUUGAAUUUUAUGAAAAAAUAAUUACUGUAAACUCUAAUUAUUUAAUAAUAACUUAGUAUUUAUAUUUAGGAAUAUCAAAAGAAACUGUGAUCCCAAUUAGAGUUUAUGAUUAUAAACAUGGAGGUAAACGUAUACUACCAUGGCAAGAUAGAGGUUUGUAUUAGAUUUUUAAUUCGCAGUAGGGCUGUUUAAAAUUAUUGUAAUAUGAGUAACAAUAUCCCUUGUGAUAAAAAAAAUUAUAAUUGUUUAAACUGACUAAGGAUCUAUAUUUUACUCAGGACCACAAUUUUGCUCAGUUUAACCUAGAUCAGGGAUCCACAACUAGAUGGGAGAAAUCUGAUGUGCACUUUGACAUCAUAGGCCAAAAUUGCUUAGGAAAACGUAGAUAGAUAAUUAGAUUUGGUUUUUCACUAUUAUUAGUUUUUGAGAACAAUACCUAAAUUAAACACCCUUCUAUUAUAUACUUUUUUCGUAAAAUUCAAUUUAAAACUAAUUUACUUUUAAAUUGUCAGUUAGUUUGGCCAUAAGAUGGAGACCCUUAAUCUAGGCAUGUCACUUCUGUAUUAUUAUUAUUAUUAUUAUUUGUUUUUAUAACAAUACUAUAGUGAACAAAAGUCAUUACAUUUAUUGUAAAUUAAAAAGAUUGGUGACAAUAUUCCAAAUUUGUUCAUAUUUUAUAACCACCUUAUGAUAUUACCACAAUUAUAACGAAUCGUUCGAUUUUCGAAAUGAAAAUUAUUUACUACUACUUCUGUGCAGUCACCAAUAUGAUUUUCUGUAGUAAAACAGAGCAACCUUGUUACAAAGAAGAAAAAUUCUCUGUCAUAAAUUCAUAAGUAAAAGGCAAAUUAUUUCAAAUACAUUUUUUAUAAAUUCUAUCAAUAUUUUAGAUUCUAGACUGGGUUUUAGGUUUAAAUUGAUUAAAAUAUACAGUUACUAAUUCCCUUAAAUUAAAAUGACAAAUGGUUUUAUUCAAAAUAAUAAAUUUGCUUUCGGUUAAUUAUAUGUACAGAUUGUUUCACAAAGAUUGUAAAAACUUUUAUUCUGUUCAAUAGUUUAACGAUUUUUCUUUUUUGUAUUAACUGACUAGAAUAUUUUUUUUUUUUUAAAAAAACACUUAAGAUAAAUUUAAACAUUUAUACUAAAAAAAUUGUUGAUUUAAGAAAUGUUUAUUGAUAAUGAGUUACAUUUUUUCCAUUUCAACUACCAAAUAAUUUCAUAUUUAAUGUUAAUGUAUAACUAUAAUAAAAUCCAAUUAUGAACCAAUGCAAUAACAAUAAUAGGUAAAGGUAAUAAAGAUGUAAUGUAGAAAAAUUAUUUUGGGUAAUUAGAUCUGGGCUAUUAUAAAGAAUGUAAUACCUCUUUAUUGAAUAUUUUUAAGUUUUUUUUUUUUUAAUGUUUAGAAAAACCUAACCUUUGAAAACUUCAACAAUUUUUAAAAAACUAAACGACUCAUCAUUAGUUAACAUUUGUAACAGUUAGACUUCUAACUCACUAGGCAGUCUGGCUGCAUCAGCCAUCCAUGGCCACUGAUAAGCAAUGGUUGAGUAUGCAAUAUGUGACUUGUAAUAAUUAGCCAGUUAGCUGCUGUGCAUUCGUGUACGUUCUGUUUGCUGCUACACCCACAAAUUAAUGGCUAUCUAGUGUGCAAGCUACAAUUAACCGCCAAAUGUCACAUUAGCUGUGUCAGCCAAGUUGCCUAGUGGUUUAGAAGCCUGCAAUUUUUUAAAAUAAAUGUAUUAAUUAACUAUUAUAUUUUGUAUAAAAAAGAAAUUAAAAAUAUUAAACAGAAUACAAGUUAGUGCAUUUGUUACAGUGAUAAUUGAUAUACUUAAAAUAAAAAAUAAUAUUUAAAUGAGUAGCCUGGUCACAAGAACCACUCUUUUAGGUUAGGACACCAUUUGAAAUGGGAUAAAUCAUUUGAAUAACCAUAUAAUAUAUCUAGGUUUGUUAAUUUAUACACAAAUUUCAGGUUUUAGUCGAAGAAAUUCAAAUCAUCCAAGAGAUUUAAAUGAAGAAGGUAAAUAAUUAUAACUAAAUGACAUUUAUAUACAAUGUGUAUUAUAUUUUAUAUAUGAGUUUAUUAUAUUUAAAAUGUAAAUGACUAUUAAAUUUAAUAAUAUUAUUUUCAAUUUUAAAUUGAAAUUAUGUAUAAUAAUAAUAUUUUUAAUUUUUUUUAAGACAACAUUAAUGAUCAAGAUAAAAAUAAAGAAACAUCAACUAAGAAGCCAACAUCAUUUGGGUCACAAGGUAGUUUAUUUUAAAUUAAAGUUGAGAAUAAAUAAAUUAUCAAGCAUAUAAUUAUUAUAUAAUAUUUAGAUAAUUCAUCAGACAUUAAAGAUUUUGAUUUUAAAAAUAAAGCCAAAGAAACUAAAAUGAUUGAAGAAACUACUAUUUUCGAAAUUAAAGAUGACAAAUUUAAAGAAGAUACAUCUAUUCCAGUAGACACUAUUACUAUUAUUGACGAUGAUGAUGUUGAAGAGGAGGAUGUGAUGAUUAUUGAUAAUUUAGAAAAAAGAGAAUUACUACAGUCUGGCAACAAAACAAAUAAUUCCCAUGUCCAUGUGCCAUCUCCACCUAAAAUGUUGCACAAUAUGGAAGUCGAAAAAUCACCUGCUAGAAAAUUGUUAUCUAUUGAUACAUUACUAAGUCCACCUGGUCGGCUUAAUAGACCGGCCAAAAUAGUUAUAAUAAUGAGAGGAUUACCUGGUUCAGGAAAAUCCUACGUUGCGAAGUUAAUCAAAGUUAGUAUAAUAUUAUACAUUUGUAUAUUAUAUUAUAUCAGUGCUUGAAUGAAUAUUGGUAAAAGUAACAAAUAUGUAUGUAUAAUAAGUGUAUGUUUCUGUAGACUUAUUUGAAUUAUUUAAACAAACUAGAUGAGAUAUGAAAUAGUUAAGAAAAAAAGGUAUUCAGUCUUCUCGCAUCUGUCAAUUCAAGUACUGAUUAAUAUUACAUUUUAUUGAGUUAUCUACAUUGUAAUAAAUUUCAUUAGGAGAAAGAAGUAGCAAUGGGUGGACAAGCUCCUAGAGUAUUAUCAUUAGAUGAUUAUUUUAUGACAGAAAUAACUAAGACUGAAAUUAAUCCUGAGACCAAUAAAACAGUGGAAAAAAAGGUAAUAUUGUUUAUAUUGUUAUUCUUGUUUAAACCCAUUAAUAUCUAAAAAAUAUUUAAUUUUCUUACAUUAUCUUACAGGCUAAUUAAAACAUGAAAUGUGGUUGUUAGGUCAAAUACACAUACAUGUUAAAAUUAAAUCAAAAUAAUGUAAUAUUUUUAAUUUUAAUAAUUUAUUUUUAUCUCAGUAAUAUUGUGAUAAAAUGGUUUUACAAUACAUAUUUUUAUAUCACUUGAAAGAUUGGGGUUUCCAUUGCAUUGCGACCCUAACUGUUUUGAUGUUUCCUUGUCAUUAUGUAAUUAUAGUGUCCUUUAUACUUUAACAAAGUCUGUUACUGGUGUAGGUUUUACCAAUAUUUUACUAAUUUUUUUUCUAUCUCGUUUGCCGAUUUCCCAUUGCUUUAUCUAUAGUAGUAGAUCCACAUAUUUUCCUCUAUGCUGUGUUCUCAAAAUGUAUCAAUCUUAAUUCUACUGUUUGGUUAUUGUUUAAGUGUCACGUCUAUGAAUGAAAGUUGUUUCUACUUUGUUUAUAGUUGUCCUAGAUUAGCGGGCAUAGGAUUAAGGAUCAUAAGGGCACCAGAUACACACACCAACAUAAUAUAGCAACCAAACAAACUCUCAUAUAUUUUAACAAUAAAUAAAUACAAUAACAAUUAUAAGUAUCUUAUUGAAACUAUCAAUGAGACCAGUGAUUUUCAACCUGGGGGUUAUGACCGACUAAGGGGUUGCGAAAAAUUAUGGUAUCAUGUAUACCAGCGUUUCCCAACCUUUUUCCCUCGCGGCACACUAAUCCCAACCCAUAUUUAGCCGCGGCACACUUGUCACUUAGUUAUUUAUGUAUACAAAUUUUUUUAUACUAGACUUUCAUCAUAUUAAUUAUUAAUACCAAAAUAGUUGUAUAUCAGUAUAAUAUUUCUAGCAAACAUUUUAAAAUGGUAGGAUAGAAAAAAAUAUUAUUACAAUUAUCCUAAAUAUUUAAUUUAUUGAAAUGGAAAAACAAGAUACAUUACAAUUUUUAUAAAAAACCUAAUCUUAGUGAGAAAUUUGGGACUGUUUUCUCUUCAUUAUUAGGUUCCUUCGUGGUCGAAUGGUUGAUAAGCACACCCUCAUGUCGUCUUCCAAGUUCUUCAGUUUUGAUGGCAUUCAUUGAAGAGAAUGCUCACUAUUCAUAGCAGAACACAUUGAUUAAAUAAUCUUGAUUUCAAAGGUUUACUUUUAAUGAAGUUUACCAUUUUGACAACAGUUUGCAAUACUUCAUUGAGCUCAGGCAUCAAAGAUUUAGCAACGAGAGCUUCUCUAUAUAUGAAGCAGUGAGUGAAAAUAAUAUCCAGGUUUUCUUUCUUAACUAAUGCCAAAAAACCUGUUAAAUGACCAAUCAUUGAAGGGCACCCAUCUGUACAAACACUCAAACAAAAUUUCCAUGAUAUAUUGGCAGUGGUAAAAUAAUUGUUAACCAAAUUAAAAAUAUCUUGUCCUUUUGUAGUUUCAGGAAGGUCUUUACAAAAUAAAAAUUGUUCUAUCAACUCAUUAUCGCAUAUAAAUUUUACGAAUGUCAUGACCUGAGGUUUUCCGGUUACAUCUGUAGACUCAUCUAAUUGAAGGGCAAACAAUUCAGCUGCUUUCAGUUUUUCAUUCACGNUCACCAAACAAAAUUUUAAAGAUUUCACAGCAUGCUGGUAAAAUGGUUGACUCGGCUGUUGUGUGAGAUUUCAUUUUUUUUGCUAUCAGUUCCACGACAGCAUAGCUAGCUUCCUGUGCCUUAUCUGAUACAGUUGAGUGUUUUAUAAACUUUAAAGCCUGUCUGUUUUGAUCUGAGGCUAACCUUUUGAAAAAAUCUAGAGGCUUUUCAGACGCAAAACCAUGUUUUGUAAGCAGGUGCCUUUUCAGCUUACUUGGUACAAUACUUUCAUUAGAUAAUUUUUCAAUACACAUGAGGCAUUGAGGUAUACUAGGUAUAGGCAUUUCUCCACCACUCGACGUGAAAUCAAAUGAUAAAAAGCUUUCGUGAUAUUGUCGAAUAUAAUUUUUUGAUCGUACGUUAGCAUUUUUACUCGCACUCACCUCAACAUUAGGAGGAUUGAAACUAGGACCAGGCAAUUCCUCAACAUCAACUCUAUGAGCACUAUUAGGAUCAGGCAAUUCUUCGCUUAAUUUACGUUUCCUAAUUAAAAAAUGAUCCAUCGUGCGCUACACGUAGUACGAAUGAUAAUCGUAAAGCGAAAAGAAAAAAUUUCCGUUAAAGUAUAACACGGUAAUAAUAAAUGUACUUCAUACGACGACAAACGACUAACUGACAUUUUAACAUUUUAAAUGAAUUAAUAAGAAAUAGUGAACAAUAAGAUAAGAUUCUCCCCGAUAAGAGAAUCGUUAAAACUAUUUUAACCAAUUACUGAAAUUUUACGGAAACUUUUAUUAAUAGUCAUGGCAUUUCGCGGCACACCGGUUGGGAAACCCUGAUGUAUACUGUACAUUAUAUUAUUCAAAUUCUGUUAAACAGUUUUUGAAGAGAUUAUCAAAGAUGUAAACAAAAAAAUUUGGGAUUCGUAAAAGUUUGAAAACUACUAGACUAGGCGUUAAUAUCUAAAUAUUCGAUUGUUUGGUUUUAAACCAGUCUAAAAGUAAAAACUUAUAGAUCUUGCUCAUCACUACUAUCAAGGUCAUGGGGUACUUGAGUCUGCAUCUGAUAUUCUGAUUCUUCAGCUUUCCUGUUCAGCAGUUUAUGCACCAGCCAACAUGGUACACUUGCAUGAAUUUGUGCACUGCUUCCCUCAUACUAUGCCAGAAGAAACACUACUUUAUUAUUGUACUUUACCUACUCUUGAUGGUUUCUUCAUGGUUGUGAAAUCUCCAUACUGAAGAGUUUACUUAUUUUCUCCAGUAUAUUCAGAUCAUUCUAUUGAUUGAAACCUUCAUAUAUCUGCCCGAAAAUGCAUUCUGUUGUCCUUGAAUGUCCUUGUAUAGAUAUGAUCCAAAACAAUUGUGGCCUUACAGUGCCAGAGUUAAAUGUUGGCUCCCCAGUUCAUAGCUUCAUCGAAAUAUUACUUAGUACUGUAUAAAUCUAAAUUUCUUACAGUGAACCACUUUAAUAUGUAAUCAUAUAAUGUCAUACAAUAUUAUAUAAAUUGUCUUGUCUAUAUAAUCAUUAAAUAAUAUUUUGUUUUACUUAGCAUUUUUAUUUAAAUAAAUGUAAUACUAUUAAAAAAUUUAAAGAUAAAAUAUUUGAUACCGAGGAAGAAGGACAUAGGUUAAUUUUAUACAGUUUUAAAUACAAGCAAAUUAAAUUUAAAGUAUAUACACUUAUGCUACUUAACCAAAAAAAAUUACAGAGGAAAAAUUGUCUGAAGUCCUUUUGCCCUAAAAAUGUAUUUAUUUUUUUUUUUCGUAACAUUAUUUUGUGUACUUUAUUGUUUAAGGUUAUGGAAUAUGAAUAUGAUUCUGCUAAUGAAAGUUUAUACCGUACAUCCUUUAUAAAAGCAUUUAAGAAAAAAGUGGUCGAAAAUUUUUUUUCAUUUUUUAUUAUUGAUGCUAUAAAUAAUAAAGUUACAUAUUAUAAAGAUAUACUUGAUAUUUCUAGAAUCAAUGGAUUUACUGUAAGUGUUAUUGAGUCUUUGUGCUAUAUUGUAUGUUUAAAUAUCUUGAUAUAUAUAUAUGCGUAUAUAAAAUAUAAUUAUUUUACAUUACUAUUAGAUUUGUUUUGGGGAAAAUGUAAUGUGUGAUUUAGUAAAGAUAAGUAGUAUCUUUAUAGUUUAUAGUAUUAAAAAAAGACUGACAUAUUUUGCAUGAUAGGUGGGCCACUAUUGUAAGUGAGAAUUUGAGCAAGUAGGAUAUAGAAAGGAAUUUAACGUUUAUCUGUACACAACUAUUAAUCAUUGCUAACCAAAAAUAAUUCUGAGCGGAGUUUAGUUUUACAUAUUUAUAAAGGUCGUAAUGUUUUUGACUUUUGUUGAAAUUUGAUAUUAAAAUUCUUAUAAAAAGAAUUCUACAUUACACUCAGUUUUUUAGAUUCUAAAUGGAGUGAGAAAUGUAUUGGUUUUACAAUGAUGUUUAUUUUAUUUUAUUUUUUAUGUGAACACUUUUUCUGAAAGGAAAUAUUUUCUGGGUGGUACUUUUAGAGAUCAUUUUUUAAAAUUCUCAUUAAUAUUUGAGAUAAUGAAGAAAACCUGGUUCUUUAGGUUAAAAAAGAUUGAAAGAUUACAAAUAAGGUUGUCAUUUUCAACCGCUAGGUUAUUUAUUUUUUGUUAUUAAGUUUUUAUUAUUUUAAGUCUUUUAUAAACAAUCAUUGUUGUCAUGGAAACGAAAAUGUAAUCAUUUUAUCAUAAUAUGAUAUAUACGAGUAUAUUGUAAACAACUAAACUCUGCUCAGAAUGGUUUUUUCGUAAGCAAUAGUUUAUUGUCUUUAUAAAAAUUUAAUUUUUUUUUUUUUUUUUUUGUUAUUAUGAACCUCUUAUUUAAUUUUCAAUCGUUUCUGUUUGAUUUUACAUUUUUAUCCACGGAGGUUAGAUUAGGACUACCUACCAGAGAAAAAUGACAUAAAAAACUCGCAAAAUUAAAAUGUUUAUAAAUAGCUCGAAAAUGGGUAAAAUGUUUUAAAAAAUUUACCACGUCUAGAUAAGGCAAAUUUAAUUUUUUUAACUGAAUAAUAACAAAAAGAAAAUUUAAAUUUAUAAAUUUUGUAAACAUUCCCGUUUUAUUUCGUUUUUUUGUAAUUAUGAAAAUCUCUUGAAAAAUCAUUAAAUGACUUCCCUAAAGUACCACCCAGAUAAAAUUUCUUUUCAGAAAAUGUACUACAAUUGCUCCAUUAUCAACACGCCGCAUGCUGUAUAAUACAGUGGAGUGGUGAAAUCACUACCCUCCUUUAACCAAUACUAAAAAGUGGAAUAUCUCCUCAAACGGAAAUCAAAACUUUCAACACAAAAAUUUAUUUUAACAUUAUCUUUUCAUCUAUUUAUGGAAUUUUUAAUAUAGAUUGCCAUUUUCAAAUCAAAAAUAGUUACCCCCCAAAAAUAAGGGUAGAACAGCUUAUUUUCUUAAAUGUUCUAUAAAACAAAUUCCUGAAAUAAUUAAUACUUUCCGAGAUAAUGAGUUUAUUCACUUAAAUGGAUCACUUAGCAUGUAUGUAUAAUUAUUUAUAGGCUGUCUCACGAAGAUAUACCCCUUGAAUAUCUCCGGAGAUAACAAAUAUAAUCAAAUUCUGUUUUUUUUUUUUUAUAUAUUACUCACAGGGAUGAGAACUAAAAUAUUUUAUUAUUUUAGGAAAAUUUUAAGAUAGCCAUUCUGUAGCGUUUAUUUUUCUGAAAAUUUUAAUUUAUCACACAUUACCCUGUGCCACCCACUAAAAAAUGUAUUUUGCAAUAAAGUCCAUUCCCUAGUUAUCACGUAACACAGUUAAGUCAUUCCUUAAAUAAGUAACAUUAGUUUUCACACAGAUUAGGGAAUUUAAAAUGGCUGUUACUUAAAAACUAUUCAUCGGAUAUAAAUGUGUGAUACAUUAAAAUUUUCAGCAAAAUAAAUUCUGCAGAAUGGCAUUUAUAAAAUUUUACUAAAAUAUUAAAAAUAGUUAUAUAUUUUUUAAGUUUUUUACUAAAAAAAAAAUUGAAUACAAAUAAAAAAUAUUUGUAGUCCUCAUCCCUGUGAGUAAUAUAAAAAAAAAAAUUUGAUUAUCUUUAUCAUCUCUGAAGAUAUUAAAAGGGUAUAUUUUGGUGGGACAGCCAAUAUAUAUUUAUUUUUUUUUCAUAAAUCAAGAUAUUUAAAUACAAUAAUAAUAAUAAUGAUUUUGCAUAUUUUAUGUUAAUUAUAUACAUUUUUAGGUGUAUAUUAUUGAAUUAGAAGCUGAUGUUGAUCUAUGUAUCAAACGCAAUAUUCAUAAUAGAACAGCUAAUGAUAUUAAAUAUUUAAUGAAAUCUUGGGUUAAAACUCCUGAUAAUCAAAUACUGUUGGAUAUACGAUCAUUACUUAAUUUAGCUUCAAAGAGUGAAGUAUUAAAAAAAUUAUUUAAUAUUUAAACAUGUUAAAUUAAAUAUGUAUUAUUAAAUUAGAUGGAAAUGGAGGAUGUAUCAGACGUCGAAAUGGAUUUGGACAGAGACGAAAAUGACAAUGCUGAUGAUGAAAACAAACAGAAAGAAAACACAAGUAUUGAUUUUGAAGAAGAGGUAAUGGUUUUUUUUUUUAAGUUAUUUUAAGUUAGAUAACAUAUAUAUACAUUCUUCUUCUCCUUCUUUCUACAAAAUAAUGGAAAAAUAAAAUAUUCAAUGAUUGAAUAGGUUUAGAUUUUAUAAGGUUCAUAUAACUAGUUAAUUAACCAUAUUGCAGUUACCUAUUAUAUUUGUGUGAAAUGAUCUCGUGAUAAACGAAACAAAAUUAUUACUCGGAAUGUGUGAAUAAUUAUAUUUAAACAAUUGUGUAAAUAUCCAGUGGCUGAGUAGUUUUGUCAAAAUAAUGCUGUUGUUUCUAAAUUAGUGUUAUUUUUUUUUAUUUGUAUAACAUAAUCUUUAAUAAUUUUUGUUGAAAACAUAGCAUCUUAUAAAAAACGUAAAACCAGAAGAUACCAUUUCUAUUAUUCUAUUUUUUGGUUGCUAAUAUUUCUACAGGACAUCAUGAAAUUAUUGUCUUGCAAAUGGAUUGAUACUAUCCCACAAGAAGAAAAGAUGAGUAAGUUAUGUUGAUCAUUUUUUUUAUUAUUGACACAAAAAUUAACUAUUUUUAUUUAAUUUUCUACAGAUAUUAACAAUGUUAGAAAUUUUAGUUUCUCUUAAUUAUUUGAAAUUAAAUAUUAACAUUUGAAUGUUAUAUUUAUUUCAGAGAGAUUAGAUGGCCUGUGCAAGAAAAAACCAGAAAGGUCAAUUAAAGAAUGGUUACAAAUACCUGAAGAUAAUUAUACCGAUUGUGAACAAGAAGUAGUUGUCAAAGAUGGAAAAAAGAGGGUAAAUAUUAUCAUUUAUUUAUUUAAACUAAAAAUAAAAACCAAUUAUUUAAUUGUAGAUUAAGUGAUGACACUGCAAUAUUUUAACUUCUAUUAAAAAUCAAAACAAAUUAUACACAUCUUAUAUCAUUAUUAUUAGUCUACUUCACACUAUAUAUUAUAUAUAUUAUCUGUUGUAUGUGUAAGAAAUUAUUUCUGCGAUUAACGUUAAUGUUUUGAUAGCCCUUAAACUUAUUUUAAAAUCAUUUUCACCAUCUAUAGCUCUACAUUAUUUGUUUUUUCUGAUCAGUUCAUCUACGUGUACAAAACUAUAUUAAUUUCAUUUGUCCUCUAAAGAAUUAUUUUUAUAUAAUUUUGUAUUGAUAUAAAUAUGAAUUUCUAUAUGUAAAUGUUUCAUAUUUUUUAUCAGCAAAAAGAAAAUUAUACAUUAUUAAAAAACUUUUUUAUUUUGUGUAGGUUCGUUGGGCUGAUAUGGAAGAGCGACGUGAACAAGAAAAAAUGCGUGCUAUUGGUUUUGUUGUUGGGCAGACAGAUUGGAAUCGUAUGUUAGGUCGAGAUCAAGGUGAAAGCAAGCUGACCCAAACCAAAUAUAUUUGAUUAUCAAAAUAUAUUUUAACAUGUUUCAUUUUUAAAACAAUUAUUUUGUUUAUAUAUAUAUAUAUAUAUAUAUAUAUAUAUUUUUUUUGUUUUUUUAGUAAACAUUUUAAACAAUUAUUGUUUUUACUUACUGCUCUUGUUAAAAUAUUUUAUUAGAAAAUCCAAUUAAUAUGUAUAAAUAAAAAAAAAAUGUUAAUAUUUAAUAUACUAAUUUUUAAUUUAACAAUACUGUAAAAAAAAAAUAAUAAUAAAUGAAGGAACUGAACAAUGGAUUAAAUUUAAACACCUUAGAACAAUUUUGAGUAAGUAUUCAUAAUGCGCUAUAUUAUUAUUAUACCUGUUAUAACAAUUUGUAAUUUUUUUUUAAAUUUAUAUUAGGUAUAUUAAUUAAAAUUAUUUUCAUAUUUUGUAACCAUAACAUUAUUACCACCAAGAGUAGUAGUACUUUUCACUCUUGGUGAUUUAUUGUUUUCGUUAAAAUCUCUGCGCAACAUUGUUGGCCCUGUUGUUGUGCGCGUCAUCACCAUCGGUCCUUGUUGUUUGUUAUCAUCCAGUGAUCUCUAAAAUAAACCCACCAAGCACCCCCCAAAAAAAGAAAAUUACUAACUAUCCACAUUUAAAAGAUACAUAUAUUUUACAAUGUUUGUCCUGGGCAAUAUUAUGUUAACUGAUUAAUAUUUUUUUGUAAAUCUAUAGUAUUUACAGUAAUUAAUAUUAUUGUAUCAAAAAAGGAAUACAAUUUGUCUUUAAGAUACAAAGACUUUCAAAAUAAUUUAAUUAUCAGGACAAACACAGCAAAGCCUUGUAUGUAAAUUAAUGGAUUUGAGUAAUAAAUACACUGUUAAUCUGUUAUGAAUAUUUUAUAACUAGUUAAUAAUUGUAUUAAUAUUAUAAUAUAUUGGUUAGUAUUGUUUACCUGUAACACAUUCAAAAAAAAUAGAAACGCCAGUAAAGCCAAUGCUGAAGAUGUUGACGUCGACAACCGUCGUGUGCUUUGAUUUUGUUUUCUAUGUUACACAAAUGACAAUAAUAUUAUAUUAUCAGUGAAAAACAAAACAAAUAAAUCAUAAUAUAAUUUUGUUAUAUAUUAUGUUUGCUUACCUUAUUGUACCAUAAGCGCGCCCAACGUCCAAUAACGGCCGAAAACCCUCGUUAAUAUUGCCGAUGUCGUUUGAAACAUUGUUAUUAUUUACGUUAGAUGACAUUAAAAUAUAAUAAUACUAACGGCCCGUACUUAAGAAUAUAAGUUGAUUAUUUAAAUAUUUGCCAAAUUUAUAAACGGUGGGUUUUUGUUUAUAGAAAAGAAUAAUCAAACGGUAUUUGGGAUCUGACACUUUGAAAAACCAUCGCUGGAUGAACAAGAUUGUACUGACAGACAUGAAAUUUAGUCAUGCUACUUCUUCUUCUUAAGGCAAAGCUGUGAUUUAUAUAAUUAACGCCAACCACACUGACACAGCCAUCAUCGCCACGGUGUUGUGGUUUUUCAGGUUAAAUGCAGACCAUGACUGUUAUUUUUUUUUUUUUAUCACUACCUAUUGUAUUGUCAAGUGUGUUCCAUAAUUGUUUCCAGUACUAUAAACCGUUAGUUUAAUUAAUUUUGUUUGUUUUUUUUUUAAUGUGUGUUUUAGAUUUUUUAAAUAAUUAUAACUACUGUCUAUAAUAUAAAAUUAUUAUAAUUUCGUAAAGUAUUUAAUUUUGUUGCUAUAAUAAUAAUAUUUAUUAAACGUCAUAAUAUUAUAUAGGUACUUAUGUAAAUUAUGGUAGUUAUUAUUAUAUAUUUUUUAAUGU
rnacentral:lncRNA from 1 species